GACGAACGCUGGCGGCGUGCUUAACACAUGCAAGUCGAACGGUAAGGCCCUUCGGGGUACACGAGUGGCGAACGGGUGAGUAACACGUGGGUGAUCUGCCCUGCACUUCGGGAUAAGCCUGGGAAACUGGGUCUAAUACCGGAUAGGACCACUGCCUGCAUGGGUGGUGGUGGAAAGCUUUUGCGGUGUGGGAUGGGCCCGCGGCCUAUCAGCUUGUUGGUGGGGUGAUGGCCUACCAAGGCGACGACGGGUAGCCGGCCUGGGAGGGUGACCGGCCACACUGGGACUGGGAUACGGCCCAGACUCCUACGGGAGGCAGCAGUGGGGAAUAUUGCGCAAUGGGCGCAAGCCUGAUGCAGCGACGCCGCGUGAGGGAUGACGGCCUUCGGGUUGUAAACCUCUUUCAGCACCGACGAAGCGCAAGUGACGGUAGGUGCAGAAGAAGGACCGGCCAACUACGUGCCAGCCGCCGCGGUAA
rnacentral:rRNA from 1 species